rnacentral:lncRNA from 1 species
CGGGUAAAAGAAGUUUCAGUUUUUCACUAAAUGAGUAAACAAAUGAGAGUAUAAUAUGGAGAAAUAACCUAGAUGUACAACUUGUACAUUACUAAAAACCCCGAAUAUAAAGCUCAAAAUCUCAAAGAGUAAACCGGUAAACAAAACCCUAAAUCUCAUAAAAUACUCACAAAAGGGGUAUAAAAUACGCUCCAUAAUUACCAUGAAAAACUCUCACAAAAACUCAUAUAUAUGUAACUAUAUCUUGUUGCUCUAAAAAAAAUCUUUGCUGAUUGGCCUAUCAAAACAUGGGUUUAAAUAGGCCAAAUUUAGAGUUCUAAUUAUACUUCAAAUAUUCAUAAAGUAAUCAGAGUUGAUGCAAUCCGGCUCAGUAGGUUGAGUCGAGUCGUCUUAAUUGCCCGAUCGUCGACGAGAAAGUAUCGCUCCAAAAUAAUAGUUGGUUUGUAAUCGGCUAAAUAUGAAGUAAAGUGAUGGAAAAAAGGUUCAAAAAUAGGUUAAGUUUGAUAUGGAUAGGUUCGGCUAACAAUAAAAAUAUGAUAGAUAAUUUGAUGGAUAGAUGGAAUGGAAAUUCGGACUUAAGCGUCAAGAAUGAUCCAACACUAUAGAGAGUGUCGUCCCGAGACUUAUAUUGCUUAAGGUGAUUGAUGGAAAUAGAAAGAUGGACCUCGACCCGUUACUUAGAAAAGUAGGAAUCCAAGGUAUAAAAAGAUGGACGAACGCUACACCAAGAUUGGUGAUAAGUUUGGAAGGAGUUCGGUUGACGCCACUAGCACGCUAGAUAAGUCAAUUCGAGACUCACACGAAAUAUGAGAGGGAGAACCUCACAAGAACAAUAGUUCAUUAAUAAAUUUGGCAAAAGUCCUUUUACAAUGAAAAUAAACAACUAUUUAUAGCCUAUGCACUAGCUAGCCGAAUGGUCACAAAUAAGUCUUUAGAAACUAAGUAAAAUUCAGCUAGAAUAAGCUGGAAAAUUCCAGAAUAAAAACCAUUAAAAUCCUUAGCAAGAUUCGACUGAAUGGAGUCUAAAAGACAGCUUCUAGAAUGGGCAAAUGAACCUGGAAAGAUCAAUGGUGCAUGGCAGCAGCUAGGUUCGGCUAAUUGAGCUUAAAUGAGCUCAUUAAAAUGCAAUUCUUGGCUGCAAAGAUACCAGCAUUAAAGGAGGACAUGAACAACCUUGAAAGUGUGAAAAGUCAGCUUCUAGAUUGAGCAAUAAUCUUGGAAAGAUGAAUGCUUGAGGGAGGCUAAUGGCCAUGUCCAUAUUCAGCCACUUGGGACACCAAUGGGCAGCUUAAUGAUGAAGAAAAAUUCAGCUGGAUGAAUUUGGCUGUAGGGAGGUGAAUGACUUUGUCUAAAUUCGGCCAAAGCUUUAAGGGCACCUCCAAUAGAUGCCUCUUGGUCGAAUGAUCACCUAGGAGAUUCAAAGGAUCAGCAAAAUUCAUGUAACUAAACAUGCAUGCAUUCUUGCAUUCAUUGUAACUUGUUGUUCAUGCAUUUAGCUCCUUCAUUAAUGUGUUUUUAAUUUGGUAGUCACUCCUUGGCCGAAUAGGUGCUUGGGGAAGUGAACAAUUAGCUCAAGAUUCUUUGAAGAUGGCCAUGCAUGUACCGUCCAAUUCUUUGAACCUAAUGUGCAUGAAUCUUGAUUAAAUGCACCCCAAAUUCGGCUCACCUACAAGAACAAAUGAACCAAAAUUAAUUCACAUAAAAUUCAGCUGAACAUGCAUUAAUAUAAUUUUAGACACACUAAUUAAUAAGCUGUAAUAAUACUUUCUAAUUUAUUUUAAAUAAUUAAUUUAUUCUAGUAAGUAAAUUUAGUGAGCAAAAGAAAAUCUAAUAACAAGAUAUGAGCUAAAUUGAGCUCGUGUGAGCUGACUUGAGCUCAAAUGAGUUGAACCACAUGGAAAGUAGUUUGAUUGAGCUGAAAAUGAGCUUCUCGAGCUAUGUUUGAGCUGGGUCGAGCUUGCAAGGAUGGCAAGCCUCACUUUGUAAGCUAAACUACGGGCAUUCCUGGCUAGGAUCGUAUCAAGAGUUUAACUAGAAAAAGAUAAUAGAGUUUAAUGGGGAGAAGAAUACAAG